GGGGGCGACCUGGCUUCGACAGGGUCAUUCGCGAGGGUGGGUCGCGAGUCGAGGAUGUCGGUUGGCCUCGUAAAUCAGUCCGGCAGAACACACAUGCCAAUAACAGCAUGAACAUCAGCGAGGGUAACCUCGCACUUGCUGCCUGAUUUCAAUUAGGUAGGAAGGACCCUCGUUUCCGUCGGGCCCGUGGCGGAGACCAGGGCUUAACUACGGGCUUGCUGACACCGCAACAUCUCUCGGCGGUGAAGGGACUUUCAGGAGGGAAGUGGUGCACGUCAGCUUGCCUGUAGAGCGGUCGUGUUCCGAGCUCAAAUUGCAGGCUACACUCGUAGAAGCCCAUACCAAGCUGGCCGUGGACGCGGGUUCGAUUCCCGCCGCCUCCACUG
rnacentral:tmRNA from 1 species